rnacentral:rRNA from 1 species
GACGAACGCUGGCGGCGUGCCUAAUACAUGCCAGUCGAACGCUGAAGGAGGAGCUUGCUUCUCCGGAUGAGUUGCGAACGGGUGAGUAACGCGUAGGUAACCUGCCUGGUAGCGGGGGAUAACUAUUGGAAACGAUAGCUAAUACCGCAUAAGAGUAGAUGUCGCAUGACAUUUGCUUAAAAGGUGCAACUGCACCACUACCAGAUGGACCUGCGUUGUAUUAGCUAGUUGGUGAGGUAACGGCUCACCAAGGCAACGAUACAUAGCCGACCUGAGAGGGUGAUCGGCCACACUGGGACUGAGACACGGCCCAGACUCCUACGGGAGGCAGCAGUAGGGAAUCUUCGGCAAUGGACGGAAGUCUGACCGAGCAACGCCGCGUGAGUGAAGAAGGGUUUCGGAUCGUAAAGCUCUGUUGUAAGAGAAGAACGAGUGUGAGAGUGGAAAGUUCACACUGUGACGGUAGCUUACCAGAAAGGGACGGCUAACUACGUG